AACUUUUGGCAACGGAUCUCUAGGCUCUCGUAUCGAUGAAGAACACAGCGAAAUGUGAUAAGUAAUGUGAAUUGCAGAAUUCAGUGAAUCAUCGAAUCUUUGAACGCACCUUGCGCCCUUUGGCUAUUCUGAAGGGCAUGCCUGUUUGAGUAUCAUGAACACCUCAACUCCUCAUGGUUUGCCACGAGGAGCUUGGACUUUGGGGGUCUUGCUGGCCUACGGUUGGCUCCUCUCAAAUGGAUCAGCUUGCCAGUGUUUGGUGGCAUCACAGGUGUGAUAAAUAUCUACGCUUGUGGUUUUCCACCAUGUAACCUUCAGCAAUGAAGGUUCGCUGGAGCUCACAAACGUCCCUCCUCAGUGAGGACAGCUUUUUGAACGUUUGAUCUCAAAUCAGGUAGGAUUACCCGCUGAACUUAAGCAUAUCAAUAAGCGGAGGCU
rnacentral:misc_RNA from 1 species